GCUGGAUCUGAAGCAUCUUCUCCUCUCGGUUUACACCACAGGCCUAAGGUGGAGCCUUCAUGUUGCUGGUUUAGUCUACUACUCUCAUAAUCCAAAGCCCGAGGAUCAAACGUUCUACACAGCUAAUCAGGUCUUACGACGAUGACAGGAAGAACUCUGGUGAUCCCAUCUGUUAAUUAGAUGGAUUGCCUUGACACUCAUGUUCCCCUCAGGAUGAGGAGUAAUCACGGACUUUUCAUCUAGCCGACGUUAUCAUGCUAAAAUGCUAAACUAAGAUGUGUAACGUGGUAAACAUUGUCUGUUAAACAUCAGCGUGAUUAUAAUGUCCUUUUGAUCGUGUUAGCAUGUGCGCAAUCACGGAAGGCUUGUAUCAUGUGGACUUUGUUCCCACAAGCUCUGAUCCCUCCAGCUGACUUCAGACUCCGUGUCAGGUUCAGUUCCUGUUCAAUAACCCAGCAACACGGUCUCUAAUCAGUCUGUGUACUGGUUCCACUUAUUAUUUAGUCAGACUGUUCAUAUUGUAAUACUUAUAUAAUAACAUAAUGCUAAUUAUUCCAGCAUCCUUUGCACUAUGCUCCGUAAUGAAAAUAAUAACUAUAAUCAUAAUUAUAAUUUACUCCUGCAUACUUUGCACUCUUGCCUCAACCUGUCUGUAUUGUUUCUGUUUAUAGUGUGUAUAUAUUAGUUGGUUGUUUUGAAUGAGUAAGCACAUUGUAAGCAAUAAGAUCCAAAGCAAAAUUCCUCGUAUGGGUCCUCAUACCUGGCAAAUAAAGCUGAUUCUGAUUC